rnacentral:rRNA from 1 species
CCUACGGGUGGCAGCAGUGAGGAAUAUUGGUCAAUGGACGAGAGUCUGAACCAGCCAAGUAGCGUGAAGGAUGACUGCCCUACGGGUUGUAAACUUCUUUUAUAUGGGAAUAAAAUGUUCCACGUGUGGGAUUUUGUAUGUACCAUAUGAAUAAGGAUCGGCUAACUCCGUUCCAGCAGCCGCGGUAAUACGGAGGAUUCGAGCGUUAUCCGGAUUUAUUGGGUUUAAAGGGAGCGUAGGUGGAUUGUUAAGUCAGUUGGGAAAGUUUGCGGCUCAACCGUAAAAUUGCAGUUGAAACUGGCAGUCUUGAGUAGAGUAGAGGUGGGCGGAAUUCGUGGUGUAGCGGUGAAAUGCUUAGAUAUCACGAAGAACUCCGAUUGCGAAGGCAGCUCACUGGACUGCAACUGACACUGAGGCUCGAAAGUGUGGGUAUCAAACAGGAUUAGAUACCCCAGUAGUC